GGGCCCGCACAAGCAGUGGAGUAUGUGGUUUAAUUCGAAGCAACGCGAAGAACCUUACCAGGUCUUGACAUGGGGAUGACCGGUAUAGAGAUAUACCUUUCCUUCGGGACAUCCCACACAGGUGGUGCAUGGUUGUCGUCAGCUCGUGUCGUGAGAUGUUGGGUUAAGUCCCGCAACGAGCGCAACCCUUAUGAUUAGUUGCUACGCAAGAGCACUCUAGUCAGACUGCCGUUGACAAAACGGAGGAAGGUGGGGAUGAUGUCAAAUCAUCAUGCCCCUUAUGACCUGGGCCACACACGUACUACAAUGGCCGUUAACAACGGGAAGCAAAACAGCGAUGUGGAGCAAAACCCCAAAACGGUCUCAGUUCGGAUUGCAGGCUGAAACUCGCCUGCAUGAAGUUGGAAUUGCUAGUAAUCGCGAGUCAGCAUGCCG
rnacentral:rRNA from 1 species